GGUACCUGGAAUCAAACUCAGGACCUUGUGCUUGCCAGGGAGGUGCUGUGCGGCUGAGCCACAUCCCUGGACCCUGAAGUCACACUGGCCCAGGGGAAGGAAGGGUGGAGGACAGCUCCUCUUCCGCUGCUCAGCACCUCCCAGCAUUGCAUUUCUCUCCCAAGCCUGCCAGAAGCUGCUGAGGGCAAGGCUGGGUCUCCACCCAAGACCGCCUCCUUCCCUGAGCCUUAAUCCCGGGCACUCAGCACACCUGCGGUCUGAACACUUUCCCUAGAGGAAACCCCUCUGUGUGAAGAUGGCAGGAUCGGAGGGUGGUCAGAAAAGGGGGUGUGCUGGGGGCACAGGAGACCCCCGAGUCCCAUCUGCCACCUCUGUCUCUCAGAAGAGCUGCGUGCCCACCACGCAGGCACUCGCGCGGGACAAACAGGAUCACAGGCAGACAGGAGGCACCGAUAACGAAGACAAAUCCUCAGACCAGCAGAGAUGUGGUUGCCAGCGUGGAAAUCCUGUGGGCCCUCCCUCGCUUUCUGGGCUUUGGAUAGAAGGCAGUGGCUGGAUGGAAGCUAAGAAUGGCUCCCUCCUCCAGAGAGACCUCGAUACACAGGCGGGGGAGGUGGCAGCCUGCAGGGGGGGCAGUCAGAGAGGGCUUCCUGGAAGAGGCGGAAUUUACAGGUGGGCAUGAUGUAGGCAUAUAUAAGCCCUCAGGCGGGGUGAGCCAGGCAUGCUAGAGGGAGACCAGGAAAGUCCCCUGGCUCUGGCGCCUGGAGGUGGAGGGGUUGAUCUGGUCUGGGUGUGCUCUGCGCUGUCAGGGGGCAGAUGAUUGCUUCCGGUUACGGUGGACAUAAAACCCAGUGCGCACACACCUCCUGCCCGCUCCCUUUCUGGGAUGCAAACCGCGCCUUCAUUGCUCCCUGACCUCAGAUCCUUCUCUUCCUCUGACACUUUCUGCCUCUGCAUCUCUUGUCUCUGUUCCCCUCUCCCGGGUCUCCACAAGUUCUGUGUCUUCUUGGGUCUCCCUGUCUCAGUUCCAUCUCCACUCUCUGUCUCUGUCUCUCUCUCCUCCCAGGCUUCUCUGUCACAGUUCCUCAGGGAAAGGCUUCUGCAGCCUCUGGGGCUUGCGCCUCGGUUUCCCUCUCCUGGGUUGGAACCUCAGCCCCUCCUCAAUCCAGGGAGGCUGCUCAGAGGUGCCCUGUGGGGAUGGUCGCCUGCGUCGCCUCGACCCCAUGGUUACCGCAGAGGCCACAGAGGCAGGGGAGGCUCCCCCUUCCUGCAGGGCCCCUCGGCCCCCGCUGGCUGCUCUGGGGCUACAGUGUGCAAGGGGCUCGAGGACUGGCCCCACCAUGGACAGAUAGGAGGCCCGGGAAGAGCUGCAGAGCAUUGAGCAGUACUGUCCCCUCCCAGGGAUUUGCUGGAGCCAGACAGGGCAGGAGGCCCAGAUUUAUUCACUUUGCUUGCUCCCCAGAGGCCGUUAAGUCCAGAGUGGCGGAAUUAAGUUGUAGGUUCAGCUGGGAAGACAGGUGAGCGGCUGGAGAGCUGAGCUGGGCCGCACUGCGCGAGCAGAGCUGGGCACCGGCCUGGCCCAUGCAGGAGGCUGCGGCCCUCGCUGCUCAGAGGCUGGAGGCCAGCUUUCCUGUUCCAUCCUGGACAGGGCAGGGGCCCCAAGACUUCACCUUGCAGCUGGAGUCAACCAGUCAGCUGAGGCUGUCACCAGGUUUGGGCAAAUUAGAGGUGACAGCCAUGCCCCUAACCUCCAUGGUGUGGCUAAUGAGGGCCUUCUGCUCUCGGGAAAUCAAUUUCCAGGAUGCUAAGGACACCCAGGACAGUGGGGGAUUGCCAGGGGAGGGGAGGACAACGAACCUUAAUGCCAGCUCAGGACGCCUGCCCUUCGUGCCCCCAACACUGGGCUGCUGUCUGGCUUCACCAAGGGCUCCAGGGGGCGAGACAAACCCACAUCCAUGGGCCUCCCUUUGAAAUGUGGCCAGGACUGGCAUUUAGGGGAAGGGCAGAGCUUCCUGAAUGCUACAGCCGCUCUCUUCCCUUCCUUGCUGACGUGACAGAACGUGGCAUGUGACCUCCGGGAGCGCCCCUACUGUUACAGGUUGGGGGAAUUACACGAAAUAGCAGACGCACAGAGCCCGCACGGCCUGCAGUGAGGUACGUGGAAUCCGUGGGGCGGGGCCACCGUGGGAGCAGCUUCCCUUGACCACUUGACACCAAGGCCCAAGGCCGUCUCUUCCACCUGCGCAGAGCAAGGUGAGCAGUGGCGGAGCCCCGCGCCGGGCCCAGCAGCAAGGCGGUCAUGGAGAAGACUGAGGCCGGGCCAGUGGCCAGUGCUUCCUCUACAGGGGGCCCACAGCGGGCGUGGGCACCUCAGCACACCCCAUGCUUCCUCCCAGCCCCUCAUAUUCAAGUCCCCAGUGGCUGCGGGGGCCACAGAUACGAUGGUCUGACUGUAACUUGUUUGCUUCUUUUCUGGACCCAAGGGCAGCCUGGCACCAUGCAGACCGCAUCCUUCUCAGACAGUUCCCUGAGUCUCCCUGCCCUCUCUGAACGAUGUGUGCGUCUGCUCUCUCUCCAUGCAGAAUACGCAAGGUCUCCCAGCUCACCGGCACUGUGGGACCUGUGCAGGGAGCAAAAGGAGCGUAGGGGAAGGCGCUAAUGAACCAGAUGAGGUGACAGGGCGGGGCGCGGGACCAACAGAAACUCAGUUCACAUGUACUAGGCAAGCGCUUCUCACAGGGUGAGGCAGGCGCUGGGGCGGGCGUGACGCACCCUUGUGGGCUGCAUGUUUUGGGAAUGUGUGUGUGCGCACGCGUGUGUGUGGGUGGGCAGGGUGGUACCAGCGUGGAAACUGAGGAGCCCCCCAUUGAUACUCGGGCGUUGCUUGCAGCCUGACCCUGAAGCCCGCGCCGGCCCGGCUGUGAGGGACGGUGAGGGGCCCCCCACUCUCACGCCGACGCAGACCCUCUACAGCGGGAGUCACGGGGUCAGGACGAGGUGCAGGGACACACACGUGCCCUCUACCGGCCACGGGGAAGCGUCAGUGAGUUACGUGGCUGCUGCAGGAAGCCUUCGUUUCCAGUUUGCCCAUUUUUCUUGCAACAAGUGUCCUUGCUGGUCUACCUCCUGUUCUUUCUCUUUCCACAGGGACAUGGAAAUGACAAUUUCGCUUUCUUCUUAGUAAGCCUACAAGGACUGUCAGAGGCAUCAGGGAGGGGGGGGACUGCGGCACCCCACAGCUUGUGAGCUAGCCCUUUGUGCGGGGAGGAGGGGGGGCGCUACUUAGCUGGACCAGCUUUUCCAGAAGAGGGCAGUUUGGGCAGACCUUCUGAUUGUUAAAAGCAAAGCCAGUACUCUGCUUUUCUUUUUAAGUGAGACUUCUCCACAUUUAAAACUACUGACAGUGAAUUGCAAGCAGUAAACCAGAUCAGGUCACUGCUAGACCAGCUUGUGACCUAUGACAUAGGCAAAUGUGCGACCCUCCAAGGACAGACGGCGUCGCACCUCCCGACGCGGACGCCCUCCUGCUCUGCGCCGCCUCCCUCCAGCUGCUCCAGCCGGCUCAGCCCCUGCACGCAGCCCGCGUUCCCAGCUGCUCCGAAGGCUGCGGGAAUUCAGGCGGCAUGGCCAGCCGAUGUGACAAAAACAGCAAGUCCCCGGCACACUGGGGAGGUGCUGGGAUGGGAGAGGGCGGCCGAGGGCUCAGAGGACCUUCCACGGUGUUAAUUUCUCAGGAAUGGAGAAAUGAGGAAGGCGGCUUAGCAACAGCUGGCUUUGGGCAGUGAGCAAUCCUGUCUGAAAAUAAAACAUUUUACAAUCCA